rnacentral:lncRNA from 1 species
CACAUUGCUAGUGCUUGAAGAAAUGUCUCCCUUUAAGACACUUCACAGAUAGACAGAAUGCACUACAGCAGCUUAAAGAAAGACAAUGACUCUCAAAAUAACUGGAGACAUGUGAGCUGCACUUGGAUUCUAACGCUUAAAACAGGUAAGAGAUCUGACUAGCUUGGAAAAACUGGGGACCUUCAUGUUAAAAUUCACAAGUUACCCCCUUGUGUAAAUUAAGAAACUAAAUAAUCCUUGGGCUUUAUUUUUAAAUCAUUGCACUUAAAUUAUUCUACAGGCUGGAGAGAGUGGGGUGUCACAUGAGUGUCUGGCAAGGUACAGGUAAUUUAAGUAAGGAUACUAAUUAGAUGUACAAACAAUUGGAAUUGUAAGCAAAUCACUGUAUAAAGCAGGGCAGACAUGAUCAAACUCUAUGAGACAAAGCUCACAGUUUGAUGCGAACUGCACUCUCCUACAACCGAGCUAGAAUUGAGAAAACAAUACAGACAAAUAGAAAAGUAAUAGUAGUGCAUGUAUUAUACAGAGCAUAUUUAGAUUACAUAUUAUAUACACGUUACUUAAUUAUCUUUACAGAUCAGAUCAUGGCCCUCCUUUUUAAAAUCUAGUAAAUAUGUUAGAACAGGCAUAGGCAACCUUCGGCACUCCAGAUGUUUUAAACUACAGCUCCCAUGAUGCUUUGUCAGCAUUGUAGAUGUAAAAGCAUUAUGGGGGAUGUAGUCCACAACAUCAGGAGUGCCGAAGGUUGUCUAUCCCUGUGUUAAAAUCUUUAAACCAGGUGGAUAUGGUAUCCACAUGUUGGGCCAAACUGUUCUUUUAAGGUUGGGUUCUUUUAACAUUGGAUGUAUGAAUAUUAAAUAUCAAUAAACAUACCCCUGUGCUAGUUAUGAAGUAUACUUCUAGGUAAUGAAUUGUACCUUUGUAUCAAUAUUUUGGAGAUACUUUCCCUGUCUGCAGAAUACAAGUAAAACUGGUCAAACAAUGUACUAUUAAAGUCUUGCAUCAAAAUAGCUUUACAAAACACUGCAGGUGCUUUGGCAGUGCAAGGGUUAAUAAAUGCUAAUAUUCAUAGUUAGGAUUUGCUCUGCUUUACAGUCCUCUGCUAGUCCAGCAUCCCUCACGUAGCCUCUGGAACAGUCCCUUUCAUAGAUCCAGCUACCUGGAUUUGAAUAGAAACCAGACAGCAAUUCUUCAGACCCCGCCAGUCCUCCAUCCUCUGGACAAUAGAGAUUUGUUAGCACGCAGCCACAAUCUAUAGGACACAAAGCUUAAAGCACCACAGACACAGGAGGGAGUGGGGGUUUUUCGACAGGAAAUUACAGCUCUUUAAUGCCCCAACUGCAGGUCUGCUACAGAAGGACAGCUCUAUCUGUGCCAUGUUAGGGAGGUAAUUAACCCAUGGAGGAUCGGAACUAUAUUUUUGAAAUGCCUUUGUGUUCUUAUAGGUAGUAAUCAUAGACAUUUAUCCAAAAUGCUAUUAAUGUAUAAAAUAUUAUUAGUAUUAAGGAUUUUUAAACAUAUUUCCAAAAACCUAUUUAAACACAAAUGAGAGUGCACAGUGUGACUUGCAAAAGCAUUCAUUUCCCAACUCAAUAGUAUUAUAAUAUUAAGUUACAUUAAAAGGUGUUUUCGUGUGUGUACACAGCAAGAAGGACAAUUUACAACCCAUUGUAAAAAUAUUGAGAUUAGUUUCCAAAAAAUCAUUAUAAACGUACAUGUUAUUUAUUUCAUAAACCCGUAAGAAUGUACAGUAAAUCAUGACUAUGGGAAAAUUUACACUUUUCAACAUCUAGGCCAGAACAGCCAGGUUGGUAUUAAAAACAAAGACAUCUAUGUUUUGGAAAUACGUUCCUAAAAUGUGUAUUUUUAUAGUGGUUAAGUCAGUAAAAAUGAAUAAGAUCCUGGUUAGAGUAUGUAGUACAACACACAUACAUAUAAAUCUUUUUCAUUUGUACUUUAUUUCCUUACUGUAGUUUAGGAUUAUCAUGUAUUAGACUAGACUACGACAUCAACAUAUAUUUAUUAGAUACCGAGAAUUCAUUGUGUUUGAGAAAGAAUUCAAAAUCUAAGUGUCAGCACAAACCACUUGACGCAUAAGUGCUUACGUUCUAUUAAAUGCUUAGUGUGAACACAUUUAAUUUACAUAAAUGAUUUAUAUAAUUUUAUGAAUUGCUUUAUCACUGUAUUUUGCAAUAAUGAAAUAUAUGUUUACAUUUCAGAUAUAUGUAAUAUAUGAAAAUAUUACACUUUUUAUAUAUUUAAUAAUUUUCAGGUUAUUUUCCAGUUUUUAUAAUAUAGACAAUCUGGUCAAAAGUAAAAACAACAACAACUAAAAAACAUAUUUACCAGGGCUUAACAUGUCAUGCUCUAAGCCACUACCUAGGCCUUAAGAGUUCCUCACCACUGCAAACCCCAAGAGCUCAUGGCACACUCACCAGGUGUAAAUUUCUACUCAACACUACAUUUUCACUUGCCAAUGGCUAGUGUAACUUUAUGAGCCCUAUAUAUAUAAUCCACAUUCACACUUAUAUUAACAUACAUUCUAACAUUCUAAAUAGGCAAGUACCCAUAGUACCGAAAUGUGUAACCUUUGUGCCCAGCGUUUUUGACUAUAUCAGGUGCAUCUCUAUGUGUACAACAAUACUUUAGAUUCUUAAUUUGAACAUAUUUGAAAUAUUUAGCAAAAGUAAUAUUUCAAUAUCAUAUGAAUAAGAAAAAAAAAGAGAGAGCAAGAAGAGCAGUUCAUUUAAGUCAAUUUCCUGAUUUGACGAAGGGCAGUGUAAUAAUAAUAAUGUAUUAUGUAACAAACCCAUCAUGUAUAAUCCAUACAUCAUGCAAACCUCCUCUGGAUACUCCAGGAUACUUUACAAGGAGGAUUAAAUUAUGUGGUUUCUAAAUCUCUCCAUCUAUACAGACAGUAUAGCAUCUGUUAUAUUUGGAUUUGUGAUCUAUGCAAGACAUGCCUAUGACUAGAGGUUAGAACAGUGAUUGUUAUACUAGGCAAUAUGUUCAUGUUUGGGCUCUGCUGAGAAAUAUGUAAGCCAUACAUAACAAUCUGCUAUUGGAAGAGAGGAGAGUAAACAGACCACUUCCCUAUUUAAAAAAAAAAACACUCUACCUGACCAGUACAAUAAAAAAAAAAAAGAGAUUCACAGAAUGUUCUCCAAUUCUGCAAUGUAAUUAUACAUAAUAUCACAACAGCUCAGCUGCAAAGGGACAUCUGAGAUUUUGUUGUUGGAGACAAAUUGCCAUAUCCAUGCCAUAUCUUUUCAUAAAAGGAGUGAUUUGGCAUGUAGAUAUGCAGGAGCUUAGUUUUGCAGUUUAAAUCACAGAUAUUACAUUAUAUGUUCCUGAGACAUCUAAUGUCUGACUGAGGCCAUUUGACCAUGUGAACAUGGGUGAACUAACAAAGGGUCAGAAGUAAUUUGAAACAAUAUUCACCUAAUAUUUCUCUAGCCACCAUAAUAACAACAACAAAGUAUUUAACCAGGAAAGGUAAAUUCAGAUUGCUCUGGUUUUCAAGUACGUCCUGGGGAUGUUACUUUUACCCCACAUCCAGGAGAUGUUACUAUUUAAUGCUACUCAUUUUAUCUACUUUGGAAGGAUUUGAACCUGAGACCAAGGGUUGAACAGAUUCAGGUGUUGGGUCUCAGCUAUCUCAACUGGCAUUGUUAGGGCAUUAAGGGGAAGUCAACAAUGUAGGACAGUUUAAGGCUGGUCAAGGACAGGUGGUUUGAAAUUGUCACCUACUUAAAACAUUAUAAUCCUAGCAUGGGUGAACAACCAUUUGUGUUCAGCUUACCAAAGUUGUAUGUGCUACAAUAAUUAGGUGUGCAUGCUGCAGGAGUACAUUUUGGGUGUGUACACAAAAAGCAAGAGUUUUAUUUUAAAACUUAGUAAUACCUAUUCAUUAUUAGAGAUAGAAAUAAAGAAUGCUCGCCAUCUCCAUGAUCCUAUUGUUCAGCGCAGUGGAAUUUGUUUUUACAAAUUUAGUUAUCAGUGUUUCCAGUAAUCACAAUGGAACAGAACCGAGAGAUGGAGGGAGGCAGGCAGCUGAGUUGAGUAACUAUGAGAAACAAAAUGGAAGUCAUGCAAAUGCAUCUGUGAGAAGAUAGCUAUUGGCUCUUUGUACAAAUAGCAUAGUAUACAGCAACCUGCAAACAUAUUGUGCACGCGAUAACACAUGGUUCAGCUACACUUUGCAGACAGGUAGCUGCAUGAUAUUACAAUAGCUAUAUUCAUAUUUUUCAAGUGAUGAACUCACUUUUUGAAACCCAAAAGAAUGUACUGUACACAAAGUUAAAAACGGAAACUUAAAAAAAGAGUCUUGAUUUAACAGUACAGUACUUAAAAACAUAUCUAAAUAGGCAUAAAAGAAAUUGGGGGAAACCAUGUACACAAUUCCCUCAAUAUUUCUGUAUGUACCUUACCUAGAGCCAAAAUUUCAAAGGACACCUACAGCUUUUUACUCUGAGAUUGACUGCCCAUGUCAGCCCCAUUUAGCGGUUUGAAAAGAUACCCAGAUUUAAUGUGGAUCUUUGUACAUAUAGCUCUAUAUCCGCAGUUCUCUGCUGAUUAUGGACUGGGGAAGGCUGAAAGCCGCAUCUAUAUUUCAUGAGUAUGUGGUGAGCUACCAUAAUAGAGUUGGUCCUUUUAAUGCAGGGAAUGUAACUAUAAUGUACACAGAAUGUUUGCAUAAUUUAAAACGGCAGAGCAGAAUACAUUUUUAAUAAGUAUCUUGCAAUAAUCUGAAGGCUACUUGUAUUUGUUUAAUAGUCACUAUUUAGACCUUUUUAGAAGUACCUUGUAGCUUACACUGGAACAAGGAUAAGUAAAUUGUGAAAAGCUACAAAUAUUAUAUACACGCUAGUUUAUCAGUUAUGAGUGACGACAUAGGUGCAAAAGGUAGGUGAAAAUUGUUAUUUUUUUUACUUCUACUUUAGCUUAAACACUUGCCAACUCAUAUCUAUUUUUUGAAAACCAAGAAUCUUAACACUUCAGUGAAUAAAGCACGACGACUUGUUCUGUUGCAGAAAGAUUACUUGUUUAGCCAUAUGUUUGCCCAAUUCCCAGUUUGGGAGACACUUAGAUUUUUUUAUUUUUAAAUACGUUGUCAUUGCAGACGACUGGAGUACUUUAAUUUAAAGUCUUUUACGGGUGCUUUUGCAGUGCUCUUCAAUUUUAAAUAUUAUUGGUAAUUUAUCUAUUGCAUCGAUCAAUAAGUUGCUGCAAUACCUUACACCAUAUAUUAUGCUCAGUUCCUACAGUGGUUCAUUAAACAUAAAUGUACUAUAUGAACUGUAUUGUAGUAAUAAAACCAAGUAUCAACUUUAAGCAAAGUUCUACAUUCUUAAAAAGAAGAUACAUGCAUCAUUGCAGAAGGCAGUAAUAUUGAACAGGGGAAAAGAUGAUGAGCCCAGAAUAUCUGUCAAGUCUGCCUUUUUUAUCCUUUUUAAAAUGAAUCUAAAGAAUGAAUGGUGAACAGCUGAAUUCUCCCGAAUCACAAGCCGCAGACUGUAAUGAUUACUUGGCAAACCAGAUGUUUGCAAACUAUAUUUCCAAUGACCCUUUGGUUGGUUAAUCUGACAAAGUAUCAUAGUACUGAAGCUGAAUAACCAUGAGAUGCCAAGGUUAUCCAACAAUGGUAUAUUAAGGCAUUAGGCAAAUACAGAAAUGGUAUUUGCGCCUGGGACAGUUUUCAUUACCACAUCACAAUUGUUUAUAAAUGGAAUUAAUUAGUCAUUGUAAAAUAUUAGCAUAAGAUGUUAACAAAUAUUGUUAUGAAUUGUUAUAAAUAUUUAGCAUGUUUAUACAAUGCAUUCAACCUUCAAUUUCUAUGUGGUUUUUGCAAGUUAUAAUGUUGAAAAUGCCAAUACAUUCUCACUGGUUUAUUAAAUAAAUACAGAAAACCGGUGAAAAGAAAAUGACAUAAUUUAGGCAAAACUACCCAAUAAAAACAAAUUUACGCUAUAGUCACAACUUGGCUAAUUUUGUCUAAAUUCUGCAGUUGGCUAUUCAAAUUAACGCGUUUAUGUUUAGUGAAUAAACCCGCUUACAAUUUCUUGCUUUCAAAAACUUUUAGAAAGUAUUCACUAAAUUGUUUUUUUUAAGGAGGGUUGAGAUGGAAAUUGCAAAUUCUAGACCAAAUUAGCCAAACUAGAUAAACAAAUUAAUUGGGGACCAUCUGAUUUGAAAUGUCCAAGUAAUUGUCAAUUCUGCACAUUGUAGAGAAAUCAUUUGACAUAAGAUGUCCAUAGGAAAGCCUGGAGUAUGAAAUAAUAAACUGGAUUAUAAAGCUGUACCAUAGUUCAAGCUACAAAGAGAUUUUUCAAACCAUUGGUUAUGAUUUGAAACAAUAUUGAUGGUUAUAUUAGUAUUUUAUUAUUUAUAAAGCGCCAGCAAAUUCCAUAGCGCUGUACAAUGGGAGGGAAUUUGAUCAUGUUAAGCAAAAGCUGUUGGCACUAAACUAUUAUUUUAAUAUAAUAAUGUUUUUAUCAACUUUUCAAAGAAAAUAUAUAUUUUUUUACAUAUAUUUAAUUUAGAAAAAAUAAUAAAGAGAUAAAUCACCCCUAGCUUUAGAUCAUGACAGAAUCAAUGUACAUAUCCAUAUAUAUAUAUAUAUAUAAUAAAACUAACCAAAAAGCUUGCACUCCUAGUGUAUAUACUGAUGCCCUGUGCUAUUAGCCACACAAAAAAAUACAAAAUAGAAAAAUUGGCUGCACUCAUGGUUACUUGUCCUGAUGAAAGUUCCAAUGCUGGAACAGAAUCGUAUGUACCAUUAAAAGUUAAGUAUUAUCUAAUCUAUCUGUUUUAACCAAGUCUUUGAGUGCAGCCAAUUUUUGUUUAUAUAUAUACACACAACCUUUAAUUUUAAAUUCACCUUGAAUUCUCACUUCAGUGAAACAGUUAGUCUCUGUGGUCAUCCACACAAGCAGGGAAGAACAUAGAGACUGUCAGUGAGUUUUCAUACAAUGUCCGACCAGAAGUAUAUGCAUUUGACUGAAGGAUCCUGGCAUAUACUCUAGGUAGGUUUUCCUCUUAAAAAAAUAAACAAAAACAAAAACCAUAUACUUUAUUUAAAAAAAUAAAUCAAUUUCAUUUUAAAAGUUGAUGAAAGGAUUAUUAUAUUUAAGAUAGUUUUGAGGUAACAGUUGUCCUUUAAGGUAAACAAUUUUUUAAACUAUGCAUUUUGUAGCCCCUCUCUGGCAGAUCAUGAGGAAAAAUAGUAGGUUAACGUGCUUUUUAAAUAUGGAUCUUAAUUUAAAAAAAAAAAAAAAGCAUACAAGCAUGUCCACAUCAAUAAAACUUAUAAUUCAUAUUCUCUGUUCAUAAAUGGUGGCUAAUCUUUGCCUUCAUAAGUAUGUUUUAAGAAAAACAAGGGGGUUCUGUCCAACUGCUCAUCUGUCAGUAGCCUUGGGGUAAUGCAGACUAGGUUCAUCAGAGCAGAAAUGUCAGCGAAAUGCGUCACAGCCCAACUGGAUGCUGAUUAACAUUUGCAAAGCUGUACUACAGUCCAUAUCCUUCCAUAUAAGUUAAUCAUUCUACUGUUCCAGCACUAGUCUACCAUGUAGAGCAUAGCAUCAAGCACUUAAACAAAUUACAAAGUAGGCGCAAAAUGUCCCUUAAAAAGGACCACAUUGUUGGCAAUUAUCAAAGAACAUUUAUAAAUAAAGUUAUAAAUUCAAUCUCUCCAAAGGGGUAAGUAAGGUGCAUGUGUGCAUCCACAAUGAAAACUAGGUAUUUGCAAAGGUAGAUUUUGGUAAAACAUCCCUUGCCCACAUUAAUUAAAAACUCAAUGGCGAUGCCUACGUAUAAGUAAUUAAGAGGUUGAUAAAAGUUCAUGUAUUUGACUCAUAUACUUCAAAGCGCCCUUUAUAAAGAUAUUUCUUACGUAGAGUUUAUUUUUAGUAACUCUAAAUUAGUGUUCCUGUCCUGUAGAUGUUGAGUUAUUUAUUUAGAUAUUUGGUUGAGCGGCUGUUCUGGUACACUUGCAAAAUUUCAAACUUUAGCAUGGUUAGUCUGUAAAAUACAGAUUUCUAUGUAUGAAUAUAAACUCAUGUAUCUCAAAUAUGAUCUCCUAAAUAAGAGUUAUUAGAGACUAUGUGUCUUCUCAAAAUAGUCAAUACAUCUUAUAAUAGCAUGCUGUAAACUGACGAAUAAGCAUAAGGGUUAAAACAGGUAAAAACAUGGAGCUGUGCAAUUACUGUAUAUGCAAAGUAAAAAGACAAAUGACAGGGGAAUUACUACAUUUUCUCAAAUAUAAAAGGCGUCUAGGAAGUUUAAAGUAACACUCCAAGCACCAUAUCCAUUACAGUGCACUGCAGUGGUUCUUGUGCCCUUAAAAGUGUAGUCAAACCAUUUGCUAACAGUCUGACUUUUUACCUGGGGUCUACCAGGUGCUGCUCUAUGCCUCUAUUCUCUUCUCCAUAGGAGAAUAGGAAGCUCUGAUUUUUUUCUCUCCUGAGUUGCCUGAGAGACCCUCCACUACCCAAAUACAAAAUAAACAAAAAUCACUGUUUAGUAGAUAUACCCCAAAUGAAAAUUAUGCAUGUUUUCAUUGUUGUAAAUCUAAUAACAGCAUUCAAAACCUGCAUUGUCUUGUCUGUUGCCUUUGCAAACCCUCCCCUACUAACCCCACCCAGGCUUUCUGAGGACACACUCUUUACACAAAGCUUUUUUAGCAAGCUAAAGUGCUUUAGGGGUCUGGAGUGUCCCUUUAAGCCCUGCAAUGCAGAGCCAACACAAUGUCUGACAGAGUUGGGAUUAGUUUGGACAGAGUUUCCACAUCUCAUAGUUUCUAUAUAUCCUAUAGGAAAGCAUUGGAUUGGCUGAGAUCAUCAAGACUGAUGAUAUUAGCCGGGUUGAGGGGGGCUAGUCAUGGUGAGACCAGCGGGGCCAUGUAGAAAAAAAAGAAGUUUAAAACCUUUUAACUCCACUCUGAGGGGUGCCGGUGACCUAAUCGCCAGUCCAACACUACAGGGUUAGGAAUACAUGUUUGUAUUCCUAACAACAUCGUGUUCCUUUAACUAUUAAGCCACAAUAGAUAAUCUGCAAAAUGUGCUGCAAGAAUUGUUUUUCACUUUUGUCACUAAAAACUGUGAAAUGCCAGUUUUAGCAAGUAACCCAGUGAAAAACAUUCUGUAUCACAAAAGAGAAACAAUAGGCAUUUAGAAUAAUGUCUACUAUUGCAACUUUUCAUUCCUGGGCUACAAUACGGUCUCAAAGGCAACAAAACCAAUCUGGCAAUUUUCAAUGUGAAAAAACUGAAACGCAAGCCUUAUAUUUGACUAACUUUUGAAAAAAACCAUAAAACCUGUACAUAAAGGGUACUGUUAUACUCAGGAGACUUCGCUGAACACAAAUAUUACUGUUUCAAAACAGUAAAAUGUAUCACAACAAUAUCGUCCAUGUAAGUGCCAUUUGUGUGUGAAAAAUGCAAAAAAUUUCACUUUCACUGACAAUAUCAUCUAAUAUUUGUGUUCAGCGAAGUAUUCCGAGUAAAACAGUAUCCCCCAUGUACAGGUUUUAUGGUGUCUUGGAAAGUUAAAUAUAACGCUAGCAAAUUAAAUUCCCUGGACUUUCGGCCUGGGUUGGCAGGCAGGUCCCGCAAAUUGUAAUUAAUAAAAUGACCUAAUUAUGUAAAGUUAUUACAUAAAUAUAUACAUGUGUGUGUGUGUGUGUGUGUAUAUAUAUAUUAUAUAUAUAUAUACAUUUUAAAUGAAGACUGUGGAGUGCAGUCAUCACUUUGGAUUUUCUAUGUGAAUCAACCAGCUGACUUAGGCACCCGGCAAUACCACAGAUAGCAUGAGAGCAAAGAAUUUUUUUAUUUUUUUUUUAUAAUUAUAUUUAACGUAUUUACAUAUAUAUUUAAUAUUAUAAAUAUAUAUAUAUUAAGCAAUAUCAGUCUACGUGUACUUUGAUAUUAAUAUAUAAUUAUAUAUAUAUUAAAAUACACUUAGACUAUGUAUGUGUAUAUAUGUGUAUGUAUGUAUGUAUAUGUGUGUUUUUAUAAUUGUAUUUCACACUGCUUUAACGUUUAUUUUUAUUUUUUUACAGGCAGCGUGGAGAGUACCUGUCAUUACAGGCACUCCCCCUGCUGGCACUGACAUGGAUGGCUAUGCCAUCCAUGUGAUUGCGAGGUCCUUGCAAGGACCUCGUGAUCACAUGGCCCAGGAGGGCCAGAAUGGAAGCAGGGGGACUCCCUGGGAUGCCAGGUGAGUCCCCACACCGUGAUUGACGCCGUUUAGAGCCAGGUUCCUAAGGAUAGCAUAGCACGCCCGCCGUCCUUAAGGGGUUAACAGUCAGUAUGUGAGGAUGUCAUACCAGUACAAAAGCGUACACUGUCGCAAGUUGGAAUCAAUAAUAGAAACUUAUAAGUUACUAAAACACACUUCUAUUUAAUAAUAAUUAUUAAAGAAACACUUAUAGUCACCCAAACAACUUUAGCUUAAUGAAGCAGUUUUUGUGUAUAGGUCAUGCCUCUGAAGCUCAAUUAUUUGCAUAAAAACUGCAUAAAAACAAAAUUGUUUCAUUUUCAAUCAGAUGUAACUGAUUUUAAAUUUGUUUUUAUCUCCUACUCUAUAAAUUAACCUUUAAUUACAUACAGGGGGCUCCUGCAGGGUCUUGCAAGCUAUUAACAGAGCAGGAGAUAAUAAAAUCUAGAUUAAACAGAAUUUGCAAUAAAGAAAGUGUAAACAUUAGAUGACUCUUUACAGGAAGUGUUCAGGAAGGCUGUGUAAGUCACAUGCAGGGAGGUGUGCCUAAGGAUGCAUAAACAAAGUGAUUGAACUGAUAAAUGGCAAAGAAUAAAGCAGUGAGACUGCAGGGGCAUGAGCUAUACACCAACGCUGCUUCAUUAAGCUAAAGUUAGUUUGGGUACUAUAGUGACCAUUAAAAAAAAAAAAAAAAAAAAGACUUUUCACAAUGUGAGGUGCAGAAAAGGCAUGUAUAUGAAGAACAUGUAAUCCUAUACAUAUAAAAAUGUGCAACUUUAUUUGCCAUUCGAUAUAUAGUGAGCUGACAACCAAUAUGUUAAAUUGAGGCCAAAAAAGCAGAUUUUAAAAAAAGAUAUAUAUUUUUUAAAUCAUAAUUUUAUUAUUGAUUCACCCAUCACUAUGCAGAUCUAUUGUGCAAUAAAACUCUUGUUUUAUCAGUUUUUCCCAUUAGAAAUAGGUUAUAUCUUUUUUUCUAUCUAAACGCAUACCAGAUCUUUUCUCCAUCAGAGAACUGAUGGUGAUUUAUAUUUUAGCCCCUCUGGCAGUAAAUAGUUUAAAGAUAUAAUUACUAGGCAGCAUUCUUUUAAAAUAGCUUCUUUUCUCAGUUUUGAUCAUGGUUGACUGGAAACUGCUGCCUCAUUCUUCCCUAAUUAGUGAUGAGCCACUAAAGCCACUAAUGAGAAUUUAUGUAGCCUGUAUUCUUCAGCCACAGAUGAGUGCCAACAGAGAAACCUAUUUAAUGGACAGAUUGCCACUGAUAUAUUUUGCAAUCUUCCCAAGAAAACGAUCAACUUAUGCUUUGCUUUUUUUGUGCCACACAUGCACAAAUUGCACAAAUUGUUUUGCCAUGCGAAAAAAAUGACAAAAUUGACUUUAAUUAGAAGAUAAUUAGUUGUGGUGAAUUGGCAAACGAAUUGCAAAAUGAGGGCAAAAUUGGUCAAAUUAGGCUAGUUAGAAUAACUAGUAUUGUGGGAGAUGAAUGCUUUGCUGUUUUGGCCUAAAUUCUGCUUUUAAAUGCAAUCUGACUAGAUUCAGAGUUUAAGGCAGGGAUAGACCACCUUUGACACUCCAGAACUAAACCUCCCAUAAUGUUUUGCCAACAUUAUGACUGUAAGAGCACACUGGGAGAUGUAGUCCCCAAAAUCUAAAGUGCCAAAUGUUGCCUACCCCUGGUUUAGUAAAUAACCCCUAAUUUGUGUGGGUGGGGCCUGACUGCUACGCUGAGGCAGUCAUGUUUCUUUAGUUUCUUUAGCUUCAAACUCAGAUGUAAAUAUACUAUUUUCAAGCUCAUGAAUACCCUACUUUAGGCCUUUGCCAGGACCUUUGGCUCAUGGAACCGCUGUGGUACUUCCAUGCCUGUUGCCAUUCAUAUACUCACCUAUUUUCCGUGCCUCAGCAUCUGCACUUAGCUGUCCAUAUCAAUGGAGGAGGCAGCUAAUCCUUUGGUUGAACUGGAGUGACUGGCGACGUAAUUGAGUUAUCAUACUGCCUUCCUCCCUCUCCCCACAUGGACCAGUGGAGGAUAUCUUCGUUCCUGGUUUGUGUAGGCUGCCACAAAUCUCAAUAACCCCAUUGAAGGACUGAUCUGCCCAUCGGUCACGCACCUGAUUUCUGCAAGAGGGUCAAGCAGGCACUUGGAGCAAUACCAAAUAUGCAUCAAGAAGACAUCCUGUCUGGAUUCAACCAACUCAGUGAGAGGUUCUGGACAACAUCCUACACGUGAGAUACUCAGAACUUACCCCAAUCAAACUAGGUAUCAGCAGCAAUAAAGGAGUCCACUGGAACCCACGCCAAGCAAAUCUGCUCUACCCUCCAUCACCUCUAAGAAGUCCAGAACUCCUGGGCUGACAGCCAGUAGGAGAAUGUCUCCAUCAUAUCACUAAAAAAAGGUCUCAGAGGUGACGUCUAAGCAAAAAACCACAGCAUGUCACAUAUAACCAAGUCAGUGGUGCACUGGUGAAGUCUCCAUAUCUGGCCUUGGGGCUGGUGUGAUGAUAGUGCACCAGUAUGCAAGUAUGCAGUAUUACCGCCUUAACUCCAUCAGAAACCUCUGUGCAACCUAUACAACUUUACCCUGAUGAUAGCAACCUAUUGCGACAUUCUACAGUUAACACGCAGGACAUCCUUUUGUUUUUAGUUAUUUUAAUUUUCACCUGUGAUAUACAGGGCCCAAUACCUCUUUUUAGUUAAUAUAACCGGGUCUGGGUGUCCUUCACUUAAACACCUACUAUUAUGUUUACUUUAAAGGAGGCCAGCUAUACUCUUGUUCGUUAUUACAUGCACAAUAUCAUCUUGCUAUACUCAUUAGUUAUUUGGUGUUAGCUCAACCAUGCUCGGAAAUAUGUCACUGCUCAUGCUAUAUACCGCAAUGCUUCUACAUAUUUAUGAUUGGCAAUGUCACUACUACAUAAACAGUGUAUGUUAUAAAUGUGCCUCAAUAAAAAUUGAUUGACAAAAACAAAUAACCCCUAAUUUGUCACUCCUAUAUUACAAAAUAUGCCUCCAUACAACUACAGUUGAACUACAUAUAUAGCAUACUCAAACUGUGUGUAUUAUACAAGCAUGCUCACUAUUUAGCAGUGAUGUCAAAUUACCAACCAAACCCAUGCCCACUAUUUAGCAGUGAUGUCAAAUUACCAACUAAUCAAGUCACAGAAUUAAUUUACAUAUUUUUAUUCUUUUCUCCCAUAGACACUGGCCAAAACAUUGUUUCUAAGAACCAUUGUGAGAACACAUCACAAUAGGAAAGCUACUUUGAAGAAGGUAGCCAUUAAUCCUCCAAAAUACCUAAGGAACUGAUGGAAAUGAGAGUAACAGGAAAAAUUAUACAACAAUGUACCCUUCUAAAAGG